UACGGAGGGUGCAAGCGUUGUUCGGAAUUAUUGGGCGUAAAGGGAGUGUAGGCGGUUCGUUAAGUCUUCUGUGAAAUCUACGGGCUUAGCCUGUAACGUGCAGAGGAAACUAGCGGGCUUGAGUGUCGGAGAGGAUAGGGGAAUACCCAGUGUAGAGGUGAAAUUCGUAGAGAUUGGGUGGAACACCAGUGGCGAAGGCGCCUAUCUGGCUGACAACUGACGCUGAGACUCGAAAGCAUGGGGAGCAAACAGG
rnacentral:rRNA from 1 species